AUUGAACGCUGGCGGCAGGCCUAACACAUGCAAGUCGAGCGGAUGGAGGGAGCUUGCUCCUGGAUUCAGCGGCGGACGGGUGAGUAAUGACUAGGAAUCUGCCCGGUAGUGGGGGAUAACGUCCGGACACGGGCGCUAAUAUCGCAUACGUCCUGAGGGUGAAAGGGGGGGAUCAUCGGACCUCACGCGAUCUGAUGAGACUAAGUCGGAUUAGCUAGUUGGUGGGGUAAAGGCCUACCAAGGCGACGAUCCGUAACUGGUCUGAGAGGCUGAUCAGUCACACUGGAACUGAGACACGGUCCAGACUCCUACGGGAGGCAGCAGUGGGGAAUUUUGGACAAUGGGCGAAAGCCUGAUCCAGCCAUGCCGCGUGUGUGAAGAAGGUCUUCGGAUUGUAAAGCACUUUUAGUUGGGAAGAAGAGCAGUAAGUUAAUACCUUGCUGUUUUGACGUUACCAACAGAAUAAGCACCGGCUAACUUCGUG
rnacentral:rRNA from 1 species